rnacentral:rRNA from 1 species
CACAUGGGUACCUACCUUUCAGUGAGGAAUACCGGCGAGAAAUCGCCGACAAGACCGCAUGGGCUUGGGGGAUGGAGACACCCGCAAGCAAAGCCCCGCAAGGGGCGCUGGAAGCUGGGCCUGUGGCCGAUUAGCUAGUUGGUGGGGUAAGCGCUCACCAAGGCGACGAUCGGUAGCUGGUCUGAGAGGACGAGCAGCCACACUGGGAUUGAGAACGGCCCAG